rnacentral:tRNA from 1 species
CGAAACAUAGCUUAAUCAAAAGCACCCCGCUUACACCGGGGGGCUACCUGUGAGACCCAGGUUGUAUCGA